AGGAUGAACGCUGGCGGUCUGCUUAACACAUGCAAGUCGAACGGAGUAGCAAUACUUAGUGGCGGACGGGUGAGUAACGCGUGAGAAUCUACCUUCAGGACGGAGACAACAGUUGGAAACGACUGCUAACCCCCGAUGUACUGAAAAGGCAAAUAUUUAUAGCCUGAAGAAGAGCUCGCGUCCGAUUAGCUAGUUGGAGAGGUAAAAGCUCACCAAGGCGACGAUCGGUAGCUGGUCUGAGAGGACGAUCAGCCACACUGGGACUGAGACACGGCCCAGACUCCUACGGGAGGCAGCAGUGGGAAUUUUCCGCAAUGGGCGAAAGCCUGACGGAGCAAGACCGCGUGGGGGAAGAAGGCUCUUGGGUUGUAAACCCCUUUUCUCUGGGAAGAACACAAUGACGGUACCAGAGGAAUCAGCAGUCGGCUAACUCCGUGCCAGCAGCCGC
rnacentral:rRNA from 1 species